rnacentral:rRNA from 1 species
UGGGGAAUUGUUCGCAAUGGGCGCAAGCCUGACGACGCAACGCCGCGUGGAGGAUGAAGGUCUUCGGAUUGUAAACUCCUGUUGCUCGGGACGAAAAGCUUCGACCUAAUACGUCGACGUCUGACGGUACCGAGUGAGGAAGCCCCGGCUAACUCUGUGCCAGCAGCCGCGGUAAUACAGAGGGGGCAAGCGUUGUUCGGAAUUACUGGGCGUAAAGGGCGCGUAGGCGGCCUGCUAAGUCGAACGUGAAAUCCCUGGGCUCAACCCAGGAACUGCGUCCGAUACUGGUUGGCUUGAAUCCGGGAGAGGGAUGUGGAAUUCCAGGUGUAGCGGUGAAAUGCGUAGAUAUCUGGAGGAACACCGGUGGCGAAGGCGACAUCCUGGACCGGUAUUGACGCUGAGGCGCGAAAGCCAGGGGAGCAAACGGGAUUAGAUACCCCGGUAGUCCUGGCCCUAAACGAUGAAUGCUUGGUGUGGCGGGUAUCGAUCCCUGCCGUGCCGAAGCUAACGC